GCCAGGCAUGGUGGCGGAUGCCUGUAAUUCCAGCUACUUGGGAGGCAGAGGCAGGAGACUUGCUUGAACCCAGGAGGCAGAGGUUGCAGUGAGCCAAGGUUGCGCCACUGCACUCCAGCCUGGGUGACCAAGCAAGACUCUGUCUCUA
rnacentral:SRP_RNA from 1 species